rnacentral:rRNA from 1 species
UUUAAAGAGUGCGUAAUAGCUCACUAGUCGAGUGACCCUGCGCCGAAAAUGUACCGGGGCUAAACAUAUUACCGAAGCUGUGGAGUACACCUUUAGGUGUAUUGGUAGGAGAGCGUUCUAAGGGCGUCGAAGGCAGAUCGUGAGGACUGCUGGAGCGCUUAGAAGUGAGAAUGCCGGUAUGAGUAGCGAAAGACAGGUGAGAAUCCUGUCCACCGAAUGACUAAGGUUUCCUGGGGAAGGCUCGUCCGCCCAGGGUUAGUCGGGACCUAAGCCGAGGCCGACAGGCGUAGGCGAUGGAUAACAGGUUGAUAUUCCUGUACCCGUUGUUUUUGUUUGAGCAAUGGAGGGACGCAGGAGGCUAAGGAAUGCAGACGAUCGGAAAUGUCUGUCCAAGCAGUAAGUCUGAAGAGGAGUCAAAUGCUUCUUUUCUUAAGGACAAGCUGUGAUGGGGAGGGAAAUAAUAGUACCGAAGUUCCUGAUGUCACACUGCCGAGAAAAGCUUCUAGUGAGAAAACAGCGGCC